ACAGGUUAUUAUGGACUGUAGUUACAUAAUGGAAACAGGUUAUUAUGGACUGUAGUUACACCUGAUGGAAACAGGUUAUUAUGGACUGUAGUUACACCUGAUGGAAACAGGUUAUUAUGGACUGUAGUUACAUAAUGGAAACAGGUUAUUAUGGACUGUAGUUACACCUGAUGGAAACAGGUUAUUAUGGACUGUAGUUACACCUGAUGGAAACAGGUUAUUAUGGACUGUAGUUACACCUGAUGGAAACAGGUUAUUAUGGACUGUAGUUACACCUAAUGGAAACAGGUUAUUAUGGACUGUAGUUACAUAAUGGAAACAGGUUAUUAUGGACUGUAGUUACACCUGAUGGAAACAGGUUAUUAUGGACUGUAGUUACACCUGAUGGAAACAGGUUAUUAUGGACUGUAGUUACACCUAAUGGAAACAGGUUAUUAUGGACUGUAGUUACACCUGAUGGAAACAGGUUAUUAUGGACUGUAGUUACACCUAAUGGAAACAGGUUAUUAUGGACUGUAGUUACACCUGAUGGAAACAGGUUAUUAUGGACUGUAGUUACACCUGAUGGAAACAGGUUAUUAUGGACUGUAGUUACAUAAUGGAAACAGGUUAUUAUGGACUGUAGUUACACCUGAUGGAAACAGGUUAUUAUGGACUGUAGUUACACCUGAUGGAAACAGGUUAUUAUGGACUGUAGUUACACCUAAUGGAAACAGGUUAUUAUGGACUGUAGUUACACCUAAUGGAAACAGGUUAUUAUGGACUGUAGUUACACCUGAUGGAAACAGGUUAUUAUGGACUGUAGUUACACCUGAUGGAAACAGGUUAUUAUGGACUGUAGUUACAUAAUGGAAACAGGUUAUUAUGGACUGUAG